GUCAGUCUGCUACAGCAGCACCACAUCAUCCAUCAUUGUGGGACAGCGGGACAACAUCCUGGUGAUCAGAGUGGAAUAGUGUGUACAUUUGCUGCUGGAUCGGGACAACGAUGCUGAGGAUGUGGGGGACAAGCAUGACGCAGAAGGAGAGCACCAGCAUUGAUAUCGAGUUGGCCAAGCAACAGCACCAGUCUGGCCUGUAGGAGCCCCAAUACAGAACGAUCCUUUCCCUCCCCUGACCCCUAGCUCCUCCCUCUGGACCUCCGGCCUCAAAGGGUCAGCAUCGUUACACAAGUCUGUUCUGCAAUAAAUCCUCAGCACGUCAAGUUUUCACGUGCUGUUAUGAACAACCGAAAUGUCUGUGUCGAGACUUUCCCAAGCAAGCCCGAGUAGUUUUGUUUAGCUCUAGUGCCCAAGUGGGAUGAGUGUUACAGAAGCAAAACGUAAUAGCAGCACUUAUGGUAAAGCUAAAAUUAAACGCUAACAGUUAGUUAUCGCUGUGGACAUCACGAAGAAUCUCACGAAGAAUUAAACGUUGAAUAAUUUGUUUCAUUCUUUAUAAGGCAGCUAUAUAUUCAGCGAUGAACGGGAGCAAAUCAAGGAACAAUCGAAACGAUUAAUUCAGAAGUGUAUCUGCUGGAGAUAGUUAGGACAGUAGUAGAGUUACAGACUGUCCUCAGCGCACAAUAUAUUCAUGUGGUGCGCCUCAGACGCGAAAUCCGCCCAUUAUUGAAAACAUGUUGCUAAAAGUAAACACGUCCGGUUUUGUUACGAGCACUUUGCACUCCGAGGCCAAAGUGCAUCGCAUUGAAUUGAGACUAAAGAAGGCUUCAAAACAUGACACCAGUUUUGUUGUAAGGUCCAGUACGCCCUUCGACUAUCAACCCGAAGUUAAUCAGAACUCAAACUCGGCCCUUAUAUCAGCUCAGCUUCUGAGCUUCAGGAGAGCACCAGCAUUGGUAUCGAGUUGGCCCAGCAUCAGUACCAGUCCAGCAUGCAGGAGAUCCAGUCACGGACGACCCUUCCCCUCCCCUGACCACUAACUCCUCACUUUUGACCUGCAGCCUCAAAGGAUCAGCAUCGUUGAACAAUUCUGUUCUGCAGGAAAUUCUCAGCACGUCAAGUUUUCACGGGCUGUUCUCAACAACCGCAAUGUCCUGGUCGAGUUUUCCACACUCAAGCCUGAGUAGUUUUGUUAAAUAUAAGCAGUAGAAAUGGUAAAACUAACAGCCAGUGUGCUUGCUCUGGGACAUCACAAAGAAUAUCACAGAAUACAAAGUUGAAUAACUUGUUCCAUUCAUUAUGGGACCAACAGAAAUUCAGCAAGAAACAGGGCAAAAAAUCACGGAACAAUUGAAGCGAUUAAUUUAGAAGUGUAGGCUUUCCAAAGUAGAUACUUUUGCUGUUGAUAGUUUUGACAGUAAUAGCGUUACGGACGUCUCGGUUUGUCCUCUCAGGCGUGUAAACUGUCCAAAGAGAACACGCUUCUGACGCUUUUACUGACGAAGAAAGGCAGUAAUGACUUGGCUGUGAACACCCAGAGCACAAUACAUCCUUGGGGCAUGCCUCAGACGCAAAUUCCGCCCAAGAUUAUAAACAAGGCGCAAAAUGUGAACAUGUCUAGCUUUGUUAUGAGCACUUCCCACUCCGAGCCCAUAGGCCUCGUAUUGAAUCGAGGCUGAGAAGGCAUUGAUAAAUGACAGAAGUUGUGUUGUGUGGUCCAGUACGCCCUUUGACUCUCAAUCCGACGUUUAUCAGAACUCAAACUCAGCCCUUAGCAAUAUCAGCUCAGCUCCUUGAGCCUAAGGACUUGAUGCAAUCCUUGAUUGGUACCCAGCUUAACAACAGGCUCUCUGGUCAGCUGGUCCCAGACGCCCAGAGACACUUCCUGUGCAUCGGGGGUAGUUGGCUCUUGGCGCAGGACCUCGGGGCAAAUGAUCAAUGAAUACUUCCCGCAGGGUGCAGCCAGUCUAAACCUGGGGUUUCAAACUUUCCUGCCUAAGGGCCGAGAUACUCUCAUCCACAAGGGACACAUUUCUGGGAGGCGCUAAGACCAUUUUAUCUGUUCACAGAGGCUUAUACUCACAAGUUCAGGCCCAGAGAGAAAUGUCCCCAACUACAACUUAACCCCUACAUCUCAAUAUGAGAGCACCAGCAUUGACUAUUGUGUUGGCCCAACAACAGCACCAGUCCGGCAUGCAUGAGCCCCAGUCCAGGACAACUCUUCCCCUACCCUGAUCCAUAUCUCCUCCCCCAAGACCUCCAGCCUCAAAUUUUAAACACAUCCAGUUUUCUUGCACUGUUCUCAUCAACCGCAAUGUCCACGUCAAGUUAUCCAUUGUCGAGCCUGAGUUGUUUUGUUUAGCUUGAGUGUCCGAGUGGGAAGAGUGUUACAGACACAAGGAGUUAUAUCAGUAGUUAUGGUAAUGCUCAAUCAACAGUCAGUUCUUGCUGUUGGACAUCACUGUAAAUGAGAAGCUGAAUAACUUGUUCCAUUCGUUAUGGGACAAACACAAAUUCAGCGAGGAACGGGACAAAAAAUCAAGGAACAAUUGAAGCGAUUAAUGCAAAAGUGUAGGCUAGAUACUUCUGCUGUUGAUAGUUAGGACAGUAGUAGCGUUACGGACCGUCUUGGUUUGUCCUCUCAGGCGUCUAAACUGUCCAAAGGGAACAUAAAGCUUUUGACGCUGUUGCUGAUGAAGAAAGGCAGUAAUGACUUUGCUGUGAACACCAAGAGCACAAUACAUCAAUGGGGCAUGCCUCAGACGCUAAUUGUGCCCAAGAUUGUAAACAAGGUGCAAAAUGUGAACAUGUCUAGCUUUGUUACGAGCACAUGCUUGGCACUUGUAUUGAAUCGAGAAUAGAGAUGGCUUUGAAAAAUGACAGCAGUUUUGUAAUGUCGUCCAGUACGCACUUUGACUCUCAACCGAGUUAGUCAGAACUCAAACUCGGGCCUUAGUAAUAUCAGCAAGAGCCUGGAUGUUUGCAAAAUUGCUUUAUAUCCUGAUGAUAACACCAGUAACUAGAAGUUGUAGAGACGCUCAAACUGAAACAAUUUGUUCCAACAGAUAGAACAGGCGUUGAUUGACUCGUCCGUAAAAUCCACUGGCCUUAAUAUGUUGCUCUCGAAUAAUGUGAACCUCACCAGGAGAGCUGUCUUCGAUUGACGCCAUUCAACAACAGUUGUUGUCGGGAAUUCCCAGGUUUGGGUUGGUGACUUAGGUGUCAGGACUCGCUUCAUCUCUGCACAUGGCACGGUCGCAGCAGCAGCAACAAGAACAGCAGCUGUUUCCUAAAGGACCUCAUGCAAUCAUGGAUCGGUACCCAGAUGAACACCAUACUCUCUAGUCAGCUGUGCCCAGACGCCCAGGGAGACUUCCUGUGCGUGGGGUUGAUGGGCUCUUGGCCCAGGAUCUUAGGGCAAAUGCUCUAGUCCUACCCCCAGGAUGCAGCCAGUCUUAACCUGGGGCUUCAAUCUGUCAGAUCCAGGAGCCGAGAUGACCUCAUCCACAAGGUUGAUCGUCGCUUCUGAGUCCGGACAAAGAUGCUGAGGAUGUGGUGGACAAGAAUGACCUGAAUAUGCAGAAGGAGAGAACCAGCAUUGAUAUCGAGUUUGACCAGGAACAGCACCAGUCUGCCUGAAGAAUCCCCAGUCCAGGACGAUCCUUGCCCCCCCCCCCCCUGACCCCUAGCUCCUCAACCCUGACCUCUGGCCUCAAAGGGUCAUCAUAGUUGAAUUCAAGCGCUGUACUCAACAACCGCAAUGUCUGUGUCGAGUUUUCAACACUCAAGACUGAGUAGUUUUGUUGAGCUCGAGUGCCAGAGUGGGACAGACACAAUGAGUUAUAGAAGUAGUUAUGGUAACACUAACAGUCAGUUCUUGCCGUAUGACAUCACAACGAAUAUCACGAAGAAUAAAAAGUUGAUUAAUUUGUUCCAUUCUUUAUGGGACAAACAUAAAUUCAGCGAGGAUCGGGAAAAAAUCAAGGAAAUUUUACAAUUGAAGCGAUUAAUUCACAUGAGUAAGCUUUCCAAGCAGAAUACUUUUGCUGUCUAUAGUUUGGACAGUAGUAGAUUUACAAACGCGCUUUUGAUGCUGUUGCUGACAAAGAAAGGCAGUAACUACUUCAUUGUGAACACCCAGGGCACGAUACACCCAUGGGGUUUGCCUAAAAUGUGAAUUCCGCCCAAUAUUGUAAACAAGGUGCUAAAAGUAAACACGUCCGGUUUUGUUACGAACGCUUUGCACUCCAAACCCAAAGUACAUAGAAUCAACGCCAGAAAAGGCUUAGAAAAUGACAGCAGUUUCGUUGUGUGAUCCAGUAAGGACUCUGAACAACAUUAAUGAGACCUCAAACUUGACCAUAGCACUCACAGCGAGGCCAUCAUGUUAUCUCAGCUUCUUGAGCUUCAGCAAACAUUAUUAGCCAACAAGAUGAAAACAUCAUUGAAGUGAAAGUCAAAGACAAUCCUGACUUCCUUCAGGCACAAAUACUACAACUUGCUGAAGAAAUUCAGCACGAAGAUGUCUUGCGUCAGCCAAGCACGCCUCCUAUCAACUCUUCCAACAGCGGAGCCUUGGUGAGUUUGACUUCCGUCCAAGGUUUGAUGUCGCUUAGCAACAAUGAGAUGCUUGGCAUCAACAAAUUGUUCCGUACGAGUCGCUCGAACGUAAACGAUCUGAUCCAACAGAUAGAGCAGGUGUUGCGAGACUCGUCUGUUAAUGUGACUGACCUCGAUAUGUUGCUUUCGAAUAAUGUGAAUCUUAUGCCUGAAGAGCAGUAUGCGAUUGACGCCAUUCAACAACAGUAGUCGGGAAUUUCCGGGUUCGGGGUGGUGACUUCGUCGUCGGGACUCUCUUUCUAUUGCCUGGUCGCAGAGGCAGCAGCAACCAGAACAACAAGUAUUAUUUAAGCGAUGCUCUGUGGUAUGGGGCUUAAAAAGUUGUAACUCUGUUGCUCUGGUAUCUUCAAUACCAUUGAGUAAUUAAAUGGUAAUUAAAUUGAAUGCUUUUUAAUUCCCUUUUAUUAUUGUUUAAUUUGAGUUACAAUGCUAUGAGGUUAAAUUGUAUUUACACUUAAAUGUAUUAUGAAUAUUGCUGGGCCAAGUGUGAGGUUGAGCGCUCCAAAACCGGUUUAAACCCCCAAUGCUUUGCAUUGACGGUUCCAAGGUGCAUGGUGACCCCAGCUUUAUUCUUAUUUGUGUUUAUGUUGUUAAGUAUUGUGCUGUAUUGUG